rnacentral:ncRNA from 2 species
GCCGCCAAGGAGCGUUGCAGCGGGUGCCGCCGAUGGCCGUGUCCCGUCAGGCUUGGCGACCCGACCCGAUUCGCAACGACGCUCACCUAGA